UAGGGAAUCUUCCGCAAUGGGCGAAAGCUUGACGGAGCAACGCCGCGUGAGUGAUGAAGGUCUUCGGAUCGUAAAACUCUGUUAUUAGGGAAGAACAAAUGUGUAAGUAACUAUGCACGUCUUGACGGUACCUAAUCAGAAAGCCACGGCUAACUACGUGCCAGCAGCCGCGGUAAUACGUAGGUGGCAAGCGUUAUCCGGAAUUAUUGGGCGUAAAGCGCGCGUAGGCGGUUUUUUAAGUCUGAUGUGAAAGCCCACGGCUCAACCGUGGAGGGUCAUUGGAAACUGGAAAACUUGAGUGCAGAAGAGGAAAGUGGAAUUCCAUGUGUAGCGGUGAAAUGCGUAGAUAUAUGGAGGAACACCGGUGGCGAAAGCGGCUCUCUGGUCUGUAACUGACGCUGAGGCUCGAAAGCGUGGGGAGCGAACAGG
rnacentral:rRNA from 1 species